GACGAACGCUGGCGGCGCGCCUAACACAUGCAAGUCGAGCGAGAACCGGGCCUUCGGGCCCGGGGAAAGCGGCGAACGGGUGAGUAACACGUGGGCAACCUGCCCUCGGCACUGGGAUAGCCCGGGGAAACCCGGAUUAAUACCGGAUGGCCUCCGGAGCCUUCGGGCGUCGGAGGAAAGGUGGCUUCGGCAUCCGGCCGAGGAGGGGCCUGCGGCGGAUUAGCUUGUUGGUGGGGUAACGGCCCACCAAGGCGA
rnacentral:rRNA from 1 species